rnacentral:lncRNA from 1 species
GGAAAACUCAUCAAAAACUCUAACAUGUUUCAAAAAUUUGGUGUUGCACUUCUUUCUCUCUUUCUUUUCUUUUUUUCUUUUUUUUCUCUUUUUUUUUUCUUCUUUUUUUUUUUUUUACAGCAUACAGCAACACCCAUUUUUAUUUUCACUUCCAACACAUGAUAACCAUUUACAAAAUAAUCCCCAUAAUAUCAUCUCCCAAAGUUGUUCCCCUCCCAAAAACUGAUCUGAUCA